rnacentral:tRNA from 1 species
GGGUGCAUAGCUCAGUUGGUUAGAGCGCAGCCCUGAUAAGGCUGAGGUCCCUGGUUCGAAUCCAGGUGCACCCA